UACAGAGGGGGCAAGCGUUAUUCGGAAUUAUUGGGCGUAAAGGGCGCGUAGGCGGCUAGACAAGUCAGGGGUGAAAUCCCUCGGCUCAACCGAGGAAUUGCCUCUGAAACUGUCAUGCUUGAGACCGGGAGAGGGUAGUGGAAUUCCCAGUGUAGCGGUGAAAUGCGUAGAUAUUGGGAGGAACACCGGUGGCGAAGGCGGCUACCUGGACCGGUUCUGACGCUGAGGCGCGAAAGUGUGGGGAGCAAACAGG
rnacentral:rRNA from 1 species